rnacentral:rRNA from 1 species
UACGUAGGGUGCGAGCGUUAAUCGGAAUUACUGGGCGUAAAGCGUGCGCAGGCGGCUUUGCAAGACAGAUGUGUAAUCCCCGGGCUCAACCUGGGAACUGCAUUUGUGACUGCAAGGCUAGAGUACGGCAGAGGGGGAUGGAAUUCCGCGUGUAGCAGUGAAAUGCGUAGAUAUGCGGAGGAACACCAAUGGCGAAGGCAAUCCCCUGGGCCUGUACUGACGCUCAUGCACGAAAGCGUGGGGAGCAAACAGG